UCACUGUCUAGAGAGGCUCUUAGUUUAUACAUGUACAUAUCUUUUGUUUUAAUAACACUAAAUAUUUUUUUUAACUACUAAUUAUCUCUCUGAAACUAAAAAAAAUAAACCAACAUAAAUUUGUCCAAUUAAUUACUGUAACUUCAGUUUUAGAACUUCGGAUACGUAUCAAUUAUAAGAUACCAUAUGAAAUUUUGCAGUUUCGAUUGAAUUUUAUAUUUGCCUUGAUUUUAAACACUUAAAUAUAGUGCAGCAUAGUACACAUCUAUAAUUAUCAAAACGUACAAUUAAGUUGCCCAUACGUGUACUGCAUGCUUGGCCUAAUAAUUGCCUAUAAAUUGUUUCCAUUAAUUGACAGCCUUUUAUUGUUAAGCAGAUUUAGCAAGUUAAUCUUUCUAAACAAUCAUAACGAAAAACAUAUAAUGCAUUAUAUGAUGAAGAUUAUGUUGGUGGGGCUCCGCAUAAAUGGUAUGGACCCAACCACACAAAACUGCUUCUUUAAAAUACUCAUGUUUCUUAAUGGGACGUCAGUGGUCACCGUUUUUAUAAUUAACUUGCUCGAAUUACUUCUUAAUUGGCAUGGUGUUGAGACAUUUGGUGAUGUGCAUUUGAUAUCUUCUACAUCUAUACUUGCUGCUAAAUGUAUUUAUAUAUCAAUCAAUCAGUCAAAACUUUUAAACUUAAUCAAUACAGUCGGCAAAUUUUGGAAAUUUGACAAGUUUGAUGUUGAUACCGAAACUCGCAUAACUGGAAUAUUAGACCGCGCAAUGGCUGCUUUAAAAUUUUUUGCGUCAGCUGUAAUGGGUACCGCUUUUUCUAUGUUGAUCAGUGGUCUGUUGAACCGGGAAUUAAUUUUUCCGGGUUAUGAUAUCUGCAAUUUGCAAAGCAGUCCGUGUUAUGAGAUAAAUAUGGUUUGGCAAACUUAUUUCUGUUAUUUUGAGUUGUUCCCCAUUGUUAUGGGAUUUGAUGGACUGUUUGUGUGUUUUAUCGGAUAUGCAUAUUGCAAUCUGGAGAUGCUAAAAGUUGCCUUAAAGCAAAUGACUUUAGUGAUUAAAAAGAAUCACUUACCUCCAAACUUACGCUAUGAGACAGAAGAAGAAAAAAGAUUGGUGAAAAGCAAUCUGACGGAAAUUGUUGAACAACAUGCACAAGUUAUGCAGUUUAUUAAAGAAAUUAAUAAAUUCUAUAGUCCUAUGAUGUUGGUGCAUUCUGGAUCAUCGUUGUUUAGUUUAAUAUUUUGUUUGUAUAUGAUAACAUUGGAUGGCAUUCCACCAAAAUUUGAAGUACUAGCAAAAUAUGCCAGCCUUUUGACCACUGUUUGCUUUCAAUAUUUAAUAUUUUGCUAUGCAGGCACUAUCAUUCUUGAACAGAGUAAAUCAAUGGAACACCAUUUUUAUGAUCUUGAUUGGUGGUAUAAAACUCAACCAGAUUUUCGUCAUUCUGUAUUGUUGAUGAUAGCGAGAGCUCAAGCAGCACCAAAACUAAAAAUUGGUAACAUGGACGAUUUAAAUUUGGAGAGUUAUCUUGCCGUAUUGAGAAAUGGUGUGUCUGCUUUUACUCUUAUGAGAACAAUGUCUAACUCUGACAAGUUGAAUGCAUUGUGAUUUAUUCAUGUUAUCAUAGCUAAAGUCACUAUUGAUACCAUGUAGGCGAAAUUGUUAUUUAUGAUACAAAAAGUGGUACUUUAAACACGCACGGCCCAGGUCUAGGGAGAAUUUGCUACGGUACAGCACAAGAGCAUAUAAAAUCCCAUACGCCGCCAGUCAAACAAGUCGAAGCAGACGCUGCUGCAGCUCGUGUAAUUGAAUCAUUACAAGUAAUUCUCCUGAAAAA